CCCCACGUAUCUCCUGUGCCUUCCACCCAGGCCACAGAAUUAGCCCAUGUAGAGGACUGAGUUUAAUCCACAGCGAGGAGACAAGCCCAGCUCACCCCUUGAAGCAGAGCCACUCCAAAUCGGCCAAUCUGCAGUGGAUCUAUCGACUACAAACACGGGAAUACAUACCCAUUGUUGUAACUGAGUUUGGUUACAAAGCAUUAUUGUCGAUACAGAACCUGAAGUUUAGAGAGGUUGGAAAAUUUUCCCAGCGUGACACGGCUGGCAAGAAGUGGAUUUAUUUAGAGAGAUUCACAUUCCAUAGACAGAAUGCGGACUGUCUCAAAAGGCGAGAGUGACCCUGGGAGAAACACACUCCACGGACAGAGUAUGGGCCAUCACAGAAGGCCUAGUCCAGUCUCCUGAACUUGCGGAUAAUUUAAUGAAAAUUUCCUGAAUAAUGAACUGUUGCU